rnacentral:lncRNA from 1 species
UUCUCUUUUUCCUAAACUUAGGUUCUUGACGGAUGGGUUUCCAGUCCUUGGGAAGAAAAAUGAGGGAGAGGAAGAAAUAAAGGAAGAGUAUAUGAGGCAGCAGGAAGAAGAGGAACUGGGGGCUGAGGCGGGGGUUGGAGGACUCUUUUGCCUUCAUCCCCAGCCCUCCAUAUUGGGGAAAUAAUUGUUGGCAGUUACUGUGUGCCCUGUUGCCCAGCCUGGAGUGCAAUGAUGGGAUCCUGGCUCACUACAACCUCGGCUGCCUGAGGUCAAGUGAUUCUCCUGCCUCAGCCUCCCAAGUAGCUAGGAUUACAGGAGCGUGCCACCACACCCGGGUAAUAUUUGUAUCUUUAAUAGACUUGGGGUUUCAACAUGUUGGCCAGGCUGGUCUCGAAUUCCUGAUCUUGUGAUUUGCCCACUUUGGCUUCCUAAAGAGCUGGGAUUACAGGCAUGAGCCACUGUGCCCAGCCUAAGAUGUUUAAACCUAAAUUACUUGCAGAAUGAAAGCCAUAUGCUACUUUGAACACAUUUUAUAUUCAUAAAUCUAGAAUACUGAUUGACAUCUUAUUUUAAUUUCCCCUGUUUCACCCAGAACAUCUCAGGAUGGGGCAAUAUUUGGUGAGCACCAUAUUGGAUUCUACCAAAUUACAAAUAUGUUCCAGGUAAGAGCUAUGUCCAUUCAACUGCACUUUGAGAUGUUAGAUUUAAUGCAAGGCUAAUGAGGCCAAGCCAUAGGUUUCAUUUUCACAGGAGCCAAUUAGCCUUACUAACUACUAUAUCCACAGAUUUUACCCCAAUCCUGCUUUCCCACCUUGCAAAUGAGUGCCAGGGGUCAUAAGGAAGACGGAAAGAGAACACAGAGAGUGCAGUGCAAAUUCAUACCAUUACUAGACAGUAACUCAACAGCCUCACCUUUGAAUGAUUAGAUGAACUUCUAUUAGGUGAAGUUCCAUUAGGUGAAGUUCUAGAUACAGCUAGAAUACGGCUAGUCCAGAACCAGCUCUUUUCAAGGAUGUUAGAUGUAAAAAUCUCUCUAGCUUCAAAUGAAACAGGGUUAAGCAGCUC